ACACAUCUCUACUCCCACUCACUUCCUGUAGCCUCCCCCUCGCCUCUGACUUUCUUUAAAUGCAAUGUUUUAGGUCAUUCUUCUUGUCCAGCUUCUCUGUUAAAUUAAAAACACCCUAGUGCUUGUACAUUUAGCUGAAUCAAGCCAGACGCUGUAUUUUAUUUUUAUAACUGAAUUCCUGUGAGAUAAAAAUCUCAUUUUCCUUAGUAGGCUGUAAUCAGCACUCACAGGGAUGUGGUUUCCAACUGCCCCAGCUCGUGCUUCCUUAUGAAGCUCCGCUGAGAAAUGAACUUGGCUCCUGUUCAGGUUUAAAGGGCCCGAGGCCGGUCACACAUUGCUCACUCAUACACACACACACACACACACACACACACACACACACACAGAGGAUGUGCACACAAAGACCAUUAUACAUGUAUGCACACACACAUGGACACACGUUCUUGUCCAGGGAAGCCCCUACGGUUCCACACACGAAGAGCAAAAAAGUAUUCCCUGAGACAGACAGACACACAAUCAGUACCCAGUGUCAUUCUUCCCCUUUCCAGGAGGAAAAUAGGUGAAUAAGUCAAGCUGAAAGCUGCUUCCGAAAAGACUGUUUUAAACUAGCAGGCAGGCCAGCGUUAUGCAACUCAUGGCUAGGUUCAUUAAAGGAAUCGAGGUUUGCCGACUGCACAAAUGUUCCCCUGCCUGCCUCCGCCCCAGCCCCUCCACCCCACCCUGCUCUGAUUCAUGAACUAGUUUUCAGAUUCAUGAAUCACUCGGGAGCCAGCAAGAGAAAAAUGAGUAGUAUUGAUCUCAUUUCAAUUGAAAUGGGCUCAUUAAGGCCAUGCUGGCUGUGGACGGCCUUGCACGACAAGACGCUGGCCGGCGUCCGAGGUCUGCAGGCGGGCGCCCGAGCCUGCGGGUGGGACAGGACUCCUUGGGUGAAGCCUCCGCGGAGGGUGCCCCUUCUUAUUAUUAUUAAAUGGACACAAUAUGAUCUACUGGUACAAGGGACUCUGGCUGCACUCCGCAGCCCUCGUUGGGCAGGCCGGUUUUCUUCUUUUUGUGUGGCCCGUUUAUUUUGUUAUUUUUUUUCACAGUUAAUGGAAUCUCAGUGCAGUUUCGCUCCUGGAUUUCUGGUGACUCUUAAGGACUACCUGAAGUAGGAAUUCACCUUCUGAAACAACUGGCAUAUCUUGGGGUUUGUUUGUUUUAACGCAAACAAGGAGCUUUUUACUCUUCUCCCUCCAGACCUCUGCCUUGCCACCCUCCUUGUACCGUCUUCAGCGAGAAGGACUAGGGGCUAGGAACCAUCUAGACUUGGAGUAAUCUAAUUUAUGUGGGGAAAAUUUCUCCACCAACUGGAUGGCUGCCUUCACGUGGACACCGGUUUUAUAAAACCACUCUUUCCCUUCCCAAAUGAGAAUAAUGGUUGAGGAAGCAGCAACAGAGCCUGGGUGCAGAGACAUCACAGAGGGAGGCGUUAGGCCCCUGGGGCAGAUGUCGCAGAGGCCGCCCACGAAGGAGCUCUCUUCUCUCCCACUGCCUUUCCUCUCCCCACUUGAGUUCCAGCUCCCUCUUGACACGAGCUCCCCUCCCCUUUCCAGCCCUUCGCCUUACACUUGUCCUCAUGUCUGGGGAAUCUUUUCCUCUUCCUCUCUACAACACCGGUUGGGCACCGUGUGUGAGCAGAUCAGGAGAGGCUAUUAGCUUUGAUUUGCAGCUUCCAAAUGGAUUUUUGCAUGGUUUCUUCCUCCAGCUCCUUCCACCCCCACGCCAGCCCUGGGAGAUUAAAAACAAUGGACUGGACACAUGCUUUUCAGAAAACCCAAAAAGCUGUCAACCAACACCACAGAAGGAUUCCAUCCUAAGAGGCAUACUUUUGGAUCCAAGAGUUUAGAAAUGAGAUUCUUAUCCAUUGACUUCAGAGACACCGUCAUGCAUUAGACGCAUUUCCCUUGGCAGGGAUUCGACGAAGUGACCUUACUCCCCUUUGUUCCUGCAGUGCCCGGAGAAACUGGGAAUGACCCAAAGAAGGAAAAGGAAGGCCAAGGGUAACGUCGUUGCCUGAGAAGCACUGGAGGAGAGGCAGGAACACAGAUUUGUCGAGAGCACUUACAUGUGUGCACACACCGUAACAAAGGGCAGGCUUGUUGUACGGCCACAUCACGGAGCCAGGGGACGUGCCUCGGGAAGAUGAAAUGUCAGUACUGUCUCCAUAGCACAGAGCCCAGCUCUAUACCAGAGCAGUUACGGAGCUCGGGUCUGGGUGAUUUCAGAGGCCCUGAUCCGAGUAACUUUCCUAAUAAGUCUGACGCUGUGUUCCAGAUUUGUACUUUAUGUUUACUCCUUGCAUCAAGACAGUGUCUCUGGAAGUUUCUUUUUAAAACUUUUUCUUCCCCUCAGAACGCUACAUCCUCUGCCUGAAGUGACGGUCUCAGCCAGCCCAUGAGCCUUGACAGCGCAUUGUUGGAGUUUGGAAUCAACUGCCGCCUUUUCAUGGAUAACUUCCUGAAUCUGCAGUUAAAAUUUCAUUUUUUUCUGGGUGCCCCGAGUAAAACACCCUCUGUUAAAGAUUUAUCACUUCCGCUGUAUUUCAGCUGCCUGUGGGCAUCCCUCAAUGCCCCAGUGCUGAACAGACUGUCACACCGAAGGUGCUCACGGGCCUGCCGGACGAUUGAAGUUGUACAACCUGCAGACAGAGGAGCUAAGUGUCCACACGGCCCUCCCUGCUCUUUCCAUUCUAUGUAGCUAUCUUGCUGGCACCAUUUACUCCUUUCUUUCUUUCUUUUUUUUUCUUUUCUUGAGACAGAGUCUCUAGCUGUCGCCAGGCUGGAGUGCAAUAAUGGCAUGAUCUCGGCUCACUGCAACCUCUGCCUCCCGGGUUCAAGUGAUUCUCCUGCCUCAGCCUCCCGAGUAGCUGGGAUUACAGGCAUGCGCUACCACGCCCAGCUAGUUUUUCUAUUUUUAGUAGAAACAGGGUUUCACUAUGUUCACCCGGAUGGUCUCGAUCUGUUGACCUCGUGACCCGCCUGCCUCAGCCUUCCAAAGUGCUGGGAUUACAGACGUGAGCCAUGGUGCCCAGCCACUCCUUUCUUACUCCUUUUUAGUCCAGUGAAAUCUAGCUAGCUUCUCCCUUACCCGUAAUUGUUUCAUUGUAACUUAUUCUUGCUGAGAUUACUAGAGCUAUAUUUAGACCUCCUAAAUAGUAUCAUCCACUGCCUACAGUCCUUUGGACUGUAUUCAGUUCGUGUGACCCCUCCCUCGCAUGGAAACUCUCUCUUGCCUUAGUUUUUAUGGCAUGACAGCCUUAUGCUUGCCUUCCUGUCGCAGAGCUCGUGUAUCCAGCAAUUAUCGGUGCUCCCAAGGUUCCUUGUUCUUCCCCCUUCAGAGGUCUGUGCUCCUCAACAACUCUGACCCAGCCGUGGUUCCAACAACCAUGCCAAUGUGAAGGACCCUAGAUUUCCAUCUCCAGCAAGGACCUCUUUCCAGAGUGUUGGAUGGGUAUUCCCAUUAACCUACUAGACAGCUGCAUGUGGAUCUCUCAGAGCCCCUUUAAACUCAGAUCAUCUUCCCACCAAAAUCUGUCCUCCCCUCAACUCAGGACAAAGACCUCACUGUAGGAGAACAAAGGAAGUGGAAAUCUAACAGGUGGCAGUUCACCUACAAAACCUUAGUGUCAUGCAAGAGGGCUGUCCUGUGCGGUCAUUCUCAGUAUUGAGCCAAUGUAAUGAAGAAGCGUGUAGUGUGUGGUGGGCAUUUUCCAUUAUGUUUUGGUGGCCCCACAUGGCUGGACUUCCCAGGAGCUUCCCAGAGCUCCUGCUUUGGUUAAUGGUGAGCAUUUAGGCCAGACGGCCUUGCAAAUAUCUUUCCUACAUGGGACACACUGUUGCAGCCUUGCUCUAAGGCAUAGCCUGCCUUUUUUUUUUUUUUUGGUAUGAUAAAAGAAAUAUAGAAUAUUAAUAUAUUCUCCCUGGCUUUCAAAGAUUCCCAGUGCAUUUUUCUAAUACAGCAGCUAUUUACAUUAUAUUUUCUUCUUGAUUCAUCAUUUUUGAAUGAGGCCUUGUGGGUUUGAGGGCUGGUGAGAAAUAGUGCCGGGGAGAGGGUGAGGAAGAUUGCUUUAGAUGAGAGGCACGACUGUAAAUCUUGAAGUAAAAUUAUCUUUGUGAACUAAACGGUACCUGAAUUUUAUUCAAAUGAAAAGCUGGGCAAUUGAGUGUGAUUUAAAAUGAUCACUGUUCUAUACUUCAAAUGCACUGAAACAGGUUUAUUUUGCAAUAACCUGGAGAACAUAUGCAAAUUGAAGUUAUAUUGUUUAAUCUGAAGAAGUGAAGGCUGACUGAAUAAUCGGACUGCAAGGAUAUGAAGUAUUAUGUUGAGGAUAUAUACCACGAUUUACCAUUAAAUAGUACACAAAAUUAAAAUGGACUUAAAAUGCUCAGGAAAUAUGUAUUGUUAGAUAAUAGAAAAGUUAAAAUUUCUAAAAAUAGCUAAUGCUUCAUGGAUUUUUAAAGUUUUGUUUUGUUUUGUUUUUUUGUUUUUGAGAUAGGGAGAAGAUACUAGGGGAAAAAAGCAGAUGGAAAACUUCCUUGUGGUUUUUCUGUAGUAGCUUAGAGUCUGUUCUAAGGAGCAGAGAUUUCAGAGUAUGGUCUUGGAAACCUUUGUGUUCUUUGUUUCUUGUAGACGCCACACGCCUCUGUCCCCUGGCCACAGAGGCUGAUUUUGCUGUAUCUGACAUGGGUUUCUUGACCUGCUGGGAAGGCCCAAUGUCUAAUUUCCUGGUCUGCACCCUGCAGAAACCAGUGGAAAUUAAGCAGCGAUCGAUUAUCCUACCCCAUCACACCUUUCCUAGAUCAGAUGAUGCUGGCUGAGGCUUUGAAGUAUUGACAACACACUCUUUUUUCUUUUUACACCUUUUCUUCAGAGGACCUGACUCAUUCCCUGUAAAGGGAGGAAUCACUGCAGAGACACCCCCUGUAGCCACACUGCACCCUUGCAGGGGCUGGGGGACGAGAAGCAGGAUGUUGGUAGUGGUGUUGUUACCUCUCAUGACACGAAUCAGGCCCUUCCACCAUACACUUCAUUGAGGGGAUUCUGAAAUGGGGUCCUAAGGUUGCUCUGCUCUGAGAUGGAGCGUGGAGCACCGCCUCGCACUGUUGCUCUGGGGUUUGUCUUUUGCCUGGGUCUAGCUUAGCAAGGGCAAUGGCAAGAAGGGGUUUGGGAGUCAGGAGACUAUUAAUUCCAAGGGCCAAGGAUUGGCACAUCUUGGAAUAUUCCAGAAGUGUCCGCUCAGAUGGCAAAUAUGGGGACAACGUUACCGGCCCUCCUUCCAGCAAGGAGGCUAAUAUAGACCCACUCACUGCUACCAACCACCAACUCUUGACCCUUGGAAUGAAACAGUCUGUUAACUCCCAAACCCCUUCUUGCCAUUGCCCUUGCUAAGCUAGACCCAGGCAAACGACAGGCCCCAGAGCGACGCUGCAAGGCAGUGCUUCGCGCCACUUUCAUCAGGGAGGUGCCUGUGAGAUUCUGCCUCGUCCCCAUGACCUAGUUCAUGCCCUCGAUAUGCCGGUGAGAUGUGCAGGAGCUUCCUGAAGGGCCGCAUCAUCCAGCCUUUAUUUUUGUACCUCUGUAUGAGUUUUUCUCAACUCCUGCUGUCCAGUAGCCUCACUUAGGGAACCUGUAAAUAAUACCUAUGCUUGGGCCCCACCCAAGACCCAUUAAACUGGAUUAUCUGGGGAGGAAACCUGGCAGUGGUGCUUUUUAAAAAGCUCCCCAGAUGACUUUAGUGUGCAGCCUGGAUUGAGAAUUGCUGGAUCAAUUGCUGGGGGAAGAGAGAGUUCUGUGCCAGCAUAUGAGUGGGUUUUCAUAACACUAAGGAGCCUUACUGUGUGUAGGUGAUACCUACACUUCAACCAGGAGUUCUGACAGAUCAAGGACUAUUGCCCUACCAGCUGGGGAGUGACACGAGAGAGGCAUGGGCAAGGAACCAGUACAGGGAGCCCACUUACCUGGGAGAGCUGUACAAAGUUCACUGCAAAGGGUGAAACCUGAAUUGUUUGCAUUAUGCGUGGGUCUUUGGCAGAUAGAGAUGGGGAGACAGGACAUUUCCGCAGAAAGGACAAUGUGCAGGCGUGAUGCAGCAUGAUUUUUCAGGGGGACCAGAAGGUAAGUGUCAAAAAAGCAGACUCUGGGGCGUCCUUGUCCCUUUCCAGGAGCUGAGACCUGAGCUAGACACCACUGGGAUGUGUCUGGAAGGAAUGAACUGGUGGACACGGAAGCAUUGUCUUCUCAAGGGUGCAGGGUGUGCCUGGAGAUGAGGCUGGAGACAGCAGGAGCCCUGCCAUGGAUGGAAUUCUGCACCACGUUAAUUGGACUUUACCCAUCUUUCACCAUGACCCUGAUUCACUAGAGUCAGUCUUUAAAUCAGCCUUGGAAAUUGAAAGAGAAAAAUCUAUGAAGCUGGGCCUGUGCUUUGUGUGUGCCCAGUGUAUUGGCUGUGCUAUGGCCUGGCUUCGGGGACGCACUCCAAAGACUGGCUCUGUGUGGACUGGAUUUCAAGCUAUGCGACGGCAUCUCACCCUUUGUCAAACACAGCUCUCUCACUCACUCUACAGCUGAGCUGAGGCUGCUAGGUGACUAUGAACCAAAUGCAAUGUGCCAAGUUGCUUUUAAAAAACAAACCUUCCAUCAUUCAUCUGAAAGGUAUUUCUAUGAUUCCAUUAGUCAAUCACUUAGCAGAUAUGUAUUCAAUGUCUUUUCUGUGCAAGACAUUGUGCUAUAUAAGUGAGCGAAAUUAAUAAAUAAAAUAGAAGGAGGUAUAGUAAACAAUUUUUAAUCCAAUGAAUGAAAAAUGGUGUCUAACAAAUGAACAUACAUAUAGGAACACUCAUGCAUGUGAUAUUGGAAUUGGAGCUAUUCUGGGACAUCUUAGAGGUGACAUUGCCGUCGGUACAAGGUGAGGGGUCCCUGAACUCUAGAGGAGCACAUUUUACUUAGCUCGUCCAAGGUCUCACAGUGAUGGUAAUAGCUGUAGCACCCUUGCUCCUGUUGACUGACCCAGGACCUAUGGCAUCCCACUGAGUCCUCCCCUCCCCCACUGCCCCGCCCAUAUGAUUCUGGGAGCUUCCAGCAGGUGGUUCAUAUGUGUUCACACACCUCUCUCCUGCAGCCCCUUGUUGACGCCGCUUGUUCAUGAAAUCUCCACCACUGUUCCUGUAUCUGGUGCCCUCCAAAUGAAUGCUAUUGUAUGUGAAGAGUGGGGAUCCCCACCCAGGGCUCCUCAAAACUGCCUCUUGGAGGGGCCCAAUGGCCAUCCUUCCUUGAGGCACUGGCCUGGAGCAGUGCUGUGUCUGGCUUAGAUAUGAGAGGCUGUUCCUCAUCCCAGCUUUAUGGGUCAUACUGAGCUGAGCGCUUAUGCCUUCUAGAAAGCAGUUGCUUCUACCUCUGCCCAGACCCUCAGCACAGGCCUGUCCUGGAGCAGAACCUGUGGUGCCCUGCAUUUCCCCUGGCCCUGGACAAGACUCCCUGGGGCUGACUGUCACCAUCACACAAAUCAUCUGAGGCCAACAGAUGGCUGGGGUGGGGCUGGGCAGGGCAGGCUCCACGUCCCAGUGUAGGCCCAGCCUGAGCCCAGUAUCUGAGGACAGUGGUGACUAGCAAGAUCCGCAUGCCGGGUGGCUGGUAAUAAGAGCAAAACUGAAUUCUCUCUGAGCAACAGUUGCUCAGAGAAGGCCCUGGAGGCCUGAGGCUGGCAAAGAGGCUUUGCAGAGAAGGAAGUACUGGAGCCUGAGGGAGGCCUGAGGCUGGCAAAGAGGCUUUGCAGAGAAGGAAGUACUGGAGCCUGAGGGAGGCCUGAGCCUGGUGCCUCCUGUACCCCCUCCUGAGCCCCUGCUUGCAUGGGUGUCUCCUAGCAACUGUGCAGGGCACUGGGACACUUCAGGGCUCAAGUGGCGAAAGGCGCUCACUUCAGCCCCGUCUGUUUUGCCUGUUGCCUGAGGUGACCUUCACUCUAAAGUGCUUUUGCAUCCUGACCAGCAGCCCCGGGCACAGCGGUCACCCCGGUGGAGUCAGCGGCACCAUGAGAGGCGCUACCCAGGAACAGCUCUGUGCACCUUGACUGCUCACCGGCCAAGCCCAAGUCCCUGAGCCUGCUCCUGACACCCAGUCGGCUUGCUUCCCCGCCUCAUCUUUGACUGCUCUUCCUUUCAGUCACCCCUCAUCUUCCUUCUACUUCUAUGCAGGUCCAAGCAUACUUACUGUGGCUUAUUUUGUUCCCUCUGCCUGAAAGAGGUCUCUUCACCUGUCAAACUCCCGGGUACCCUUCAGACUGAGAUGAUUGUCCCCUUGAAUGUGAAUUUCCCUGAGGCAAAACUCACCGGUUCUGCUGCUGCGUCUGUGUUCCUUCAACCCAUUCUCCACACAGGGCCAGAGCCAUCUUAGCUCCAGGCACGUCACCAGUUCACGUCCCAACGAGUUUAGAAUGAGUUCACAUUCUUUGGUGGCCACAUGCCUGCCCUACUGGCUCAUCUCUGACCUCACUCUCACCAUGCUCCUCUUCCUUCUAGCACCAUCGGCCUCCUGGCACUUCCUGGAACUGCCUCAGGUCUUUCCUCUUGCCUCAGGUCCUUUGCACAAAUGAUUCCCUCCUCUCUUUCCCUGGAAUUCUCACUGUGUAUCUUCCAGAUCUCUGCUUAAAUGUCGUCUCCUCAGACAGGCCUUCCACACCUUCCUCUCCAAAAGAGGUUCUCACCAUUGUCUCAUUAUAACAAGGCUAGUCUAAGUCCAUAUAUGCUGCUAUAACAAAACACAUAGAGGGGGCAGCUUGUAAACAACAGAGAUGUAUUUCUCACUGUUCUGCAGGCUGGGAAGUCCAAGGUAAAUGUACUGGCUAAUCUAACGUCUGGUGAAGACCCACUUCCUGGUUCAUAGGUGGUGCCUUCUCACUUCAUUGUCACAUGAUAGAAGGGGUGAGGGAGUUCUCUGGGUCCCUUUUAUAAGGGUGCUAAUCCCAUUCAAGAAGGCUCCACAUUCAUGACCUAAUCACCUCCUAAAGCCCCACCUUCUAAUACCAUGACCAUAUGGUUUUUGCUGUGUCCCCACCCAAAUCUCUUCCUGAAUUAUAGCCCCCACAAUUCCCAUGUGUCAUGGGAGGGACCAGGUAGGAGGUAAUUGAAUCAUGGGGGUGGGUCUUUCUAGUGCUGUUCUCGUGAUAGUGAAUAAGUCUCACGAGAUCUGAUGGUUUUAUAAAGGGGAGUUUCCCGCACAAGUUCUCUUCUCUUGUCCACUGCCAUGUGAGAAGUGUCUUUCACCUUCCACCGUGAUUAUGAGGCCUCCCCAGCCAUGUGGAACUGUGAGUCCAUUAAACCUCUUUCUUUUGUAAGUUGCCCAGUCUCAAGUAUGUCUUUAUCAGCAGUGUGAAAACGGACUAAUACACAUCACCUUGCAGGUGAGAAUUUCAACAUAUGAAUUUUGGGGGGACACAAAAAUUCAGACCACAGCAUUUAGUCAUUGUUCUCUGUCUUUCUUUGUUGACUUCAGUUAUGACCACCUCCUAGCUAGAGUGUGAGCUUUGUGAGACAGAGACCACCUGUGUUGCAGCAGAAUAUUUGUUGAAUAAAUUAAUGAAGUAUUAAUUAUUAGGUAUUGCCAUUUUAAUGAGCAUGUUUCCUUCAUUGCACUGCAAGUCCAUUGAAACUAUUAGCCUUUGUGAUUUUGACAUAUAUAUUUUGGCCUGGCCCCAAAUCUAAAUAUUUGCAGGAUUGAAGAGAACUUGACUCAUGAUUGGAAUGAACUGCAAAGAGGAAGCUUUCAAUACUUGAGCACUUCAAACUGAACCUCUGAAGUGGGACCGAACCCAAUGCAAGCCCUAGGCCAAGAUUCAAGGGCAGUUCCUUAAUGUUGCAAGUGACUUAAGGAAAUGAUCACUGGCCAUAGGCAGAGCAGGAGAGAGCAGACUGAGCUGAAGGGAAAGUUACUGGUUUACCUCUGGGGUUUCCCUCUGUCCCUGAGUCUUUUCCUUUCCUAGGGCAAGAGCCACCCUGUGGGGUUGGAACAGGGUUUUGAGCCUCCUGCAAACCUGCAUCCUGGGCCCCGGUAAGGAGCUCAUGGCCUCACGGUUUUUGCCCUUCCUUCCUAUGCUGUUACUGGGGAAUGAUUGCCAGCAAGGGGAGAUUGCGAGGAAUGAAAAGGGCACUUCAAAUGGACUAUUAAAACACACACACCCCAGGAAGAAAUGCUCCCAAGAACCCAGAUUGUAGAGCGGGGGGUCUGAGGUAGUGGGCUUAGCUCAGGGGCCUGAGGAGGUCUCAUGAUGCUAACAACUGAGUCCCUGGCACCACUGUUCACACUACCAGUGUUGACAAGUAUUGAGGUUUGAGCUCUGCAAAACCUAGAAAGUGGCCUCAUGCAUUCCUAUUUUAAAUCUCUCAGGUUUGGGAAAAAUGAAACUAGUGCUUCCUGAUAAUGAAGAGAAAAAGGCCCCAAGAGAAGAUCCUCCUGCUAAUAAAGAAGUCUCUUGCCCUCUCAUAGGCUCUCUUGGGGCUUCCUCUUGGGGUUACCCCAGUUGAAUCUCCCUUUUAAAGCUCCACAAGGGGUUUGGAUGUGAUUAAACUGACAUGGAAGUGAACACUCACUCAGAUUCCCAGGGCCGGGAAGCCAUGGGGCACAUAAUCACCCUACCCUAAAAUGCUUUCCUUGGGGCUUACUCAAGUCCACUCUUGGGAAGCAUAUGUAGGAAGGAGGGGAUAGAAGCCUUUGACUCUGCUGGUGGAGGGAAAUGGACUCCCUUACCCCUUCUAUAUCCAUAUGCUCAUUUCAUUGACCUGUGGCACAGAAAGUGCUUACACAUCUUGGUCUGGCACGGUAGCUGACGCCUGUAACUGCAGCACUUUGGGAGGCUGAGGUGGGCAGAUCAUGAGGUCAGAAGAUUGAGACCAUCCUGGCUAACACGGUGAAACCCCGUCUCUACUAAAAAUACAAAAAAAAAAAAAUUAGCUGGGCAUGGUGGCAAGUGCCUGUAGUCCCAGCUACUUGGGAGGCUGAGGCAGGAGAAUGGUGUGAACCUGGGAGGCGGAGCUUGCAGUGAGCUGAGAUCGCGCCACUGCACUCCAGUCUGGGCAACAGAGCGAGAUUCUGUCUCAAAAAAAAAAGUGCUUACACAUCUUACAUGGACAAGACACUAGCCCGCUUCAUUGCUCCACAUUGCAAAUCAGUACUCCUCAUUCUCUUUCCAGCCUUGUCCAUGAGGCUUCUCCUUAGCAGAGCCAGGCAGAAGUUUGCCCUCAGUAGUACCCUCUCACUCUCCUUUUCUCCCCCAUGCCUGGCCCUUUUUGUGUCCCCACAAGGGCCCAGUAUUUUCUUGCAAUUCAGGCUAUUCACGACCUCCAAGACACCCAACUGCAUUCCCUGACUCUCUCCAGGUCAACCCUUUUCCAUUCCCCCAACAAAACACAACAGUCCUAUUUCUACUCACUGUUGAGGAAGAAAUUAGAUCUCUGAUUCCUCCCUCUUCUUUUCCCUCAAUACCAAUUAGCUAAAUUGUAUUAGAUACCAUUUAAAAUGAUGUUCUUUCCAGGGUGUUUUGAGUGAUAACAGAGGCUUCCUGAAGGUUUACCACCCAAACUUACACAUCUGGCAUCAGUUUUCUUCUUGUGCUGUCAUCUCUAGGGUCUAUCACACAAUUCAGACUUCAGUGUACAUAACUUGUCAUAUUUUGGGCUAUUUUCAUGUGAGUUAUUCCUGUCUCCCCAUCUAGAUUUUAAAUUUUAAAUGCCUAUAUCCUAACAGAGGGCUAAAGACAUUGCUUCACACUUACGAAUGAGCCUCUAGUGUACGUGAAGUCAGCACAGGAAGGAGAAUCAUAAAAUACUCGCAAGUUUCAGUGAGGAGGACUUUGUAGAAUCUAGUUCAGCUUCCUCAUCUGAUAGAUAAGAAAGCUGUGGUUCAAGGAAGUCUAAUAACACAUGAAACAGUGAAUCAUUAAUAAUUCAAGAACAAAUAUUUAUUCAAUGUCUAAUCUGUUCAGUAUAAUGGGAAUAUAAAGAUGAACCAGUCAUGGACCUCACUCUCCAUGAACUUAGGGUUUGAUUUGAGAAGGAGAUAAGAUAUGUGUGAGCAUCAAUAACUGUACUAUGCCAUAGGAAGCACCAUGAAAGUGCUAAAUGAACUAUAAUCAAGUGCUUAACAUGGUGAGGGUGAACUUAAAAUGCUGUGAGUGUCCAGGAAGAGCAGAGCUGAGGACAAGGGGUGACACAGAGGAAAUGUCCUACCAGGUCCAUGUCAAACAUCUAACUGGGAUUAUAGGCAAAAGCCUACUGAACCUGGUAAUGAAGCCCACACCAUGCUGCCCUUUGCUUGGUUAGUGAUGACUCUCAAGCUUGCUUUAUCCCAUGUUUAUGGGGAGUGUAUUGGGUGCCCUGUUGUGUCUGAUAAAGAGACCUAGAAGGAAGCUAAAACAGCAAAUGUAUCAAAUUACUAUCUUGGGACCUUCCAGCUCAAUCUGACUCUAACGAAGAUAGCAACUUAGAGGAAAGAAAACUGUCUUUGCUUUUUUUAAAUAUCCUCUCUUUCCACCAAGUGACUAUUGUUAGGUUUCAACUCUAUGUUGGGUUUCUCUCCCCAACUUCUUCCUAUUAAAUUAAUGCUUGCAAGAUGUGCCAGGAUGAUACAAAUAACUUUCAAAGGCAGAGCCCAGCUCUCAAAAGAUGAUGAGUCCUGAUACUCCAUGCUUCUUAAAGACUUACCUAGGUCAUCUGAGAGACAGAAGGCAAUCAAUGAUGAUCAGGGUCAGGUGCAUCCACGACUCACUCAAUUCUUGCACUUUGUGCUAUUGGGACGACAAAAGAAGCUGAAGCCACAGUUCGUGCCUUCAAUGAGAUUGCUGUCUAAGGGAGAGGAAAUGGCCAUGGUCGAAACACGUAGAGAGACUGACCCCUAAGUGCAAGAUAGCAUGGUUUGCAUUACAUACACGCAUAUGUGCGCGUACACACACACACACACACACACACACACACACACUCCCAAGAGCAGGGUUGUGUUUUGUUGCCUGGUAGCUCCACCACUUCACCCAGCUUCUAUCCAUCUUUCACCUUAGAGACAGAAGGGUGGAAGCUCUUUAGAGGCUACCUUGCCACCUGACUCCUCCCUGCCCCUCCUUUGAGACCUCCAGCCCUCUGUGAGCGCAGCUCUAUCUUCAGCCCUCAAUCCUGUCUCCUCAUCUGGCGCCCCUUUUCCAUGUCCUGCAAACAUGACUAGACCCUGAUGAUUCUCAAAAAUGUGUCAGCAACUCUGCCUUCCUCUCAAACUACUGCUCCACUUCACCCCUUCCCUUUGGCACCAAUCUUCAUUUUAUAAAAAGGCUGCAUUCACUGUCCCUACUUUCCCAUCCUCCACAUUGCUACGGUUCAGUGUUCCGCCAUUGUUCCGGCUCAGCUUCUGCCAGCACCGGGAUGGCUCCUGUGCUCAUGCCUGCUCUUGGGAUGUGAUGAUCUCUGAGUUUCAGUCUUGGGACCAGCUCUUCACUUUCUCUGAGCAAACAUCGUUUGCUUCCCCUGGCUGACAACUCCCAGAGGCAGAUUUCCAGUCUUGACUUAAACCUUAGGGGUGCAGAAACUGUAUUUCCAACUACCUAUCAAGCAGUGAGUCUACCUGGAUGUCCCUUGAAAACCUUUAAUAAACAUGACCCAAAUGGACUCAUCCCCUUCCCCCUCAAGCUUGCUUCUGUAACAGUUUAUGUGAUCAUCAUGAUCUCCCGGGCAGCCUUCAGCUAGAACCUCAGGAUUAUCUUGAGUGCCUCCUUCUCUUUCAUGCCUGCUAUCCAAUUGCUUCGUAAGCAUCCCUUAAAUCUCUUUCCUCUUGUCACUCUAUCCCUGAUCCCUCAAGUCCAGCUGACCCACAUACUUUUUCCUGGUGGCCCCCAAAAGCUGUGAACACCAGCUCUUUUAGGCAGGAGCUCCAGCCCCCUCUUCACUGUUCCCAGCUCCAGGUCUCCUAUCCUUUGUUCCCCACCCCUUUAUUUCCAAUUUCUGGCCACUUUAGCUUCAUUGGUUUUAGAUUUCUAUAUGAUUUUCCACAAUAAUGCCUCAUCUGUCCUAUACUUCCGGCUUUUGGUAUAAAAUCACACCCAUGGUCUCUGGUGAAAAACAUCCUAGUCCAGUUCCUACGCCUGUGAACCCCACUGGCCAAUCUAGCCCCCAAGGCUCCGUCUCUGCUCUUCCUUAGUGAUGCUAUUAUUUAUGCACCCAUUUCUUUCACUGGACUAUAAACUCCUUUAUGACAAGAACUAUUAUUUACUUCUCUUCAAAUUCCAUUACAGGCACAUAGCAAGAGAGAUAAUAGGAUUAUUAAAAUAAAAAGAGGCCAGGCACGGUGAGCUUAUGCCUGUAAUCCCAACACUUUGGGAGGCUAAGGCGCAUGAAUUUCUAGAAGCCAAGAGUCCGAGACCAGCCUGGGCAACAUAGGGAGACCCCACCUCUACUAAAAAUAAGAAAAAAAAUUAGCCAGGUGUAGUGAUGUGCACCUGUAGUUCUAGCUACUCAAGAGGCUGAGAUGGGAGGAUCAUGAGAGUCCAGGAGUUUGAGGCUGCCCUGAGCUAUGAUCAUGCCACUGCACUAAAUCCUGGGUGGCAGAGCAAGACUCUGUCAAUAAAAUGAAAUACAAUAAAAUGAAAAGAGUGUGGUAUGUACAGGAAAUAUUCAGGAACGAUUCAAGGCAAUGCAUGUACUAUAGAAAUGCAGCCAGAGGGAAGGGCUAUUGUGGAUUGAGUCAGUACAGGAAGCUGGAUCUUUAACUGAAUACAGACAUUGUAAUUACAUAUCCUAAAAGCAGGAAAGCGCUGGUGACUCUGAUGAAGCCUAUCUUUUAAUUCCUCCCAGUGCCCUAAAUUCUUCCCUGACUCUGUUACCCUCUCAUAACCCAGCUGCGAUGACUACUGCCUGUAACACCGAGACGAGCUCUCCAGACUGUCAUGAGAAGCUUGGUGCAGCCAACUUGAAGUCAUGAGCUGACAACAACCUCCCUGCACAUGAGGGCCAGGAGGUUGGGAGGACCCCUGUUCUGCUUACUUAGACCAAAGGGAUCUUGGAUCUCUGCUUGGCCCCAGAGUAGCUCCAGAAUCAGAAAUGUUCAUCAUUCCUAUGAGCACAUAUCCAGGGAGUGUUUGAUCAUAAGUUCUCCCCAGAGUCAAGUCUUCAGCCAAGUGCGAACGGGCCUUGUAUAAUCCUGGCUGAGGCUCAAGGGCCUUGUUAGGUUUUUCCAAAGAAGUAUCCUAGGCCUUCUCAUUGGCUUCUCCAUUUACUGUUUCCUGUAAUGCUAUCAUGUGAUUGGAAUACUGCUGUCCUUAAGGCUGUGUCCCUUUGGUACGAUGAGCUCAAGUUUUGUUCCCUCUUCUCCUGGCCUUGCCUCUAUCCAACCCCCUUGGCUGAGAAACCACUGGACUGCAUCAGCCCAGAUUAUGUUUUCUUCCGAGAUCUUCCAGAUCUAACCUGUUUAUCACAAGCACAGCUGUGCAUGCAGUUCAUGCCCCAAAUAGAUAGGUAGGUUCUGCAAAGGGUACGAUUUGGGUUUGGCUCAUAAUGAAGGAAAACUCAGUUCAUAAGAAGAAGCUGGGCCAUGCUUAUGAUCGUCUCAGAUUGGUUUUGGCAGCCUGGACACCCUCUGGCCCCUUCUCCCUUCUAGCCACUCACCCUUACCUCAUCACUUUUCCAGCUGCUACAGGCCCCAGAUGGUGCAGAGUAGCUGCUAGCAGUGACUAUUUAUCAUGAGGCUGUGCGGGUGUAAAGAAACAUGGCCAACCACACUACAAGUGGUCUAACAACAUGGUGCCCAAGGGAAAGCACGUCCUG
rnacentral:lncRNA from 1 species